AGUGGCGGACGGGUGAGUAACGCGUGAGAAUCUGCCCUCAGGAGGGGGACAACAGCUGGAAACGGCUGCUAAUACCCCAUAUGCCGAAAGGUGAAACGAUUUUUCGCCUGANGAUGAGCUCGCGUCUGAUUAGCUGGUUGGUGGGGUAAUGGCCUACCAAGGCUUCGAUCAGUAGCUGGUCUGAGAGGACGAUCAGCCACACUGGGACUGAGACACGGCCCAGACUCCUACGGGAGGCAGCAGUAGGGAAUUUUCCGCAAUGGGCGAAAGCCUGACGGAGCAACGCCGCGUGAGGGACUAAGGCCUUUGGGCUGUAAACCUCUUUUCUCAAGGAAGAAGAUCUGACGGUACUUGAGGAAUAAGCCACGGCUAAUUCCGUGCCAGCAGCCGCGGUAAUACGGGAGUGGCAAGCGUUAUCCGGAAUUAUUGGGCGUAAAGCGUCCGCAGGCGGCCAAGCAAGUCUGUUGUUAAAGCGUGGAGCUCAACUCCAUCACGGCAAUGGAAACUGUUCGGCUUGAGUAUGGUAGGGGCAGAGGGAAUUUCCAGUGUAGCGGUGAAAUGCGUAGAUAUCGGGAAGAACACCAGUGGCAAAAGCGCUCUGCUGGGCCAUUACUGACGCUCAUGGACGAAAGCCAGGGGAGCGAAAGGGAUUAGAUACCCCUGUAGUCCUGGCCGUAAACGAUGAACACUAGAUGUUGGGGGAAUCGACCCCCUCGGUGUCGUAGCUAACGCGUUAAGUGUUCCGCCUGGGGAGUACGCACGCAAGUGUGAAACUCAAAGGAAUUGACGGGGGCCCGCACAAGCGGUGGAGUAUGUGGUUUAAUUUGAUGCAACGCGAAGAACCUUACCAAGGCUUGACAUCCUGCGAAUCUCCAAGAAAUUGGAGAGUGCCUUUUGGAACGCAGUGACAGGUGGUGCAUGGCUGUCGUCAGCUCGUGUCGUGAGAUGUUGGGUUAAGUCCCGCAACGAGCGCAACCCACGUUUUUAGUUGCCAGCAUUCAGUUGGGCACUCUAGAAAGACUGCCGGUGACAAACCGGAGGAAGGUGUGGACGACGUCAAGUCAUUAUGCCCCUUACGCCUUGGGCUACACACGUACUACAAUGCUGCGGACAAAGAGUAGCGAUCUUGCGAAAGUUAGCUAAUCUCGUAAACCGUGGCUCAGUUCAGAUCGUAGGCUGCAACUCGCCUACGUGAAGGAGGAAUCGCUAGUAAUCGCAGGUCAGCAUACUG
rnacentral:rRNA from 1 species